rnacentral:rRNA from 1 species
UACAGAGGUCCCGAGCGUUGUUCGGAUUCACUGGGCGUAAAGGGUGCGUAGGCGGCGCGGUAAGUCGGAUGUGAAAUCUCGGAGCUUAACUUCGAAACUGCAUUCGAUACUGCCGUGCUUGAGGACUGGAGAGGAGACUGGAAUUUACGGUGUAGCGGUGAAAUGCGUAGAUAUCGUAAGGAAGACCAGUGGCGAAGGCGGGUCUCUGGACAGUUCCUGACGCUGAGGCACGAAGGUCAGGGGAGCAAACGGGG